rnacentral:rRNA from 1 species
CGACGGAGGGUGCUAACGUUGCUCGGAAUUACUGGGCGUAAAGCGCGUGUAGGCGGGCUGGAAAGCGAGAUGUGAAAGCCCUCGGCUCAACCGAGGAAGUGCAUUUCGAACUAUCAGCCUUGAGUGCGGAAGAGGGAAGUGGAAUUCCUGGUGUAGCGGUGAAAUGCGUAGAUAUCAGGAAGAACACCGGUGGCGAAGGCGGCUUCCUGGUCCGAUACUGACGCUGAUGUGCGAAAGCGUGGGGAGCAAACAGGAUUAGAAACCCGAGUAGUCC